rnacentral:rRNA from 1 species
CCUACGGGAGGCUGCAGUGGGGAAUAUUGCACAAUGGGGGAAACCCUGAUGCAGCGACGCCGCGUGCGUGAAGACGUAUUUCGGUAUGUAAAGCUCUAUCUGCAGGGAAGAAGAAAGACGGUACCUGACCAAGAAGCCCCGGCUAACUACGUGCCAGCAGCCGCGGUAAUACGGAGGGGGCAAGCGUUAUCCGGAUUUACUGGGUGUAAAGGGAGCGUAGGCGGCUGGACAAGUCUGAGGUGAAAGGCCAGGGCUCAACCCUGGUACUGCGUUGGAAACUGUUGAGCUAGAGUGCUGGAGAGGUAGGUGGAAUUCCUGGUGUAGCGGUGAAAUGCUUAGAUAUUAGGAAGAACACCGGUGGCGAAGGCAGCUUACUGGACAGUAACUGACGUUGAGGCACGAAAGCGUGGGGAGCAAACAGGAUUAGAUACCCGGGUAGUC